AGCGAACGCUGGCGGCAGGCCUAACACAUGCAAGUCGAACGAACCUUUCGGGGUUAGUGGCGGACGGGUGAGUAACACGUGGGAACGUGCCUUUAGGUUCGGAAUAACUCAGGGAAACUUGUGCUAAUACCGAAUGUGCCCUUCGGGGGAAAGAUUAAUCGCCUUUAGAGCGGCCCGCGUCUGAUUAGCUAGUUGGUUGAGGUAAUGGCUCACCAAGGCGACGAUCAGUAGCUGGUCUGAGAGGAUGAUCAGCCACAUUGGGACUGAGACACGGCCCAAACUCCUACGGGAGGCAGCAGUGGGGAAUCUUGCGCAGUGGGCGAAAGCCUGACGCAGCCAUGCCGCGUGAAUGAUGAAGGUCUUAGGAUUGUAAAAUUCUUUCACCGGGGACGAUAAUGACGGUACCCGGAGAAGAAGCCCCGGCUAACUUCGUG
rnacentral:rRNA from 1 species